GUCCCUUGGGGACAUCCAAUAAAAUUAGAAAGAUAUAGAGAAGAUUAGUAUGGCCCAUGUGCAAGGAUGACACGCACAAAUCCAGAAGAUUUAGAAUUUGUU
rfam:Glycine soja cultivar W05 scaffold53_69, whole genome shotgun sequence.